AUCAGUCAGGCCCACGCACAGUUAUCCGGAGGCCUAACCGUCUCCCUGUGAUGCUGUGCUUCAGUGGUCACACUCCUAGUCUGCUUUCAUGUUCCAUCCUGUACACGUGGCUCUGCCUUUUAGAUAACAGUAGCAAAAUUAGUGAAAGUACUAAAAGUCUCUGAUAUGCAGAAAUAAUGGCGUAAGCUGUCUCUCUCUCUCUGCCUCGGCUGCCAGGCAGGGGAGGGCCCCCUGUCCAGUGGACACGUAACCCACGUGACCCUACCUAUCAUUGGAGAUGACUCACACUAUUUACCCUGCCCCUUUUGCUUUGUAUCCAAUAAAUAAUAGCGCAGCCAGACAUUCGGGGCCACUACCAGUCUCCGCGUCUUGGUGGGAGUGGUCCCCUGGGCCCAGCUGUCUUUUCUUUUAUCUCUUUGUCUCGUGUCUUUAUUUCCACAAUCUCUCGUCUCCACACACGGUGGGAAGAAACCCACCGACCCUGUGGGGCUGGUCCCUACACCAAUAAAUUGUCAAAAAUCACAAAGUACGCUAGGAAACAAUGUACCAUCAGCAGAAACCAGGAUUCAUAAACGACAGCAGAAUCAGACCUGCAAAAACAUCACCCAUGCAAUUAUUAGGCAGAGAUUAUAAAAUUUCAUAUUUGAAGAAAUAAAAGAGAUGACUGAAAGUCUGAAUACAGAGCAAGAGAUAAUUUUAAAAUUUCAUGUAGGUUUUCUAAAAAACCAUUGGGAAUGUCUUAAAACAAACUGGUAACUGGAAUUUAACACUUAAUCAAUGGGUUAACAAAAGACUAGGAAGAGCUUAAAAGAGAAUUCAUAAAAUAGAACACAGAUGUGAUAAAAUUAUCUAGAAUCAAGUAAAACUGAUGACGUAAUAGGAUAACAAUUCUAAACCUAUAUAUGCACAUACUAACAUAGUCUCAAAAUACAUAAAAUGAAAACUGACAGAAACUUAAGGAGAAAUAGGUACUCAUUAUCAUAAUGGAACAUUUUAACAUACUUCUCUCAGUAAUUGAUAGAGCAAGAAGACAAAAAUCAGUAAGGAUAAGAACUGGAUAAUGCAAUCAACAAGUUCUACCUGGUGGACUGAGAGAGAGAAUUGUACCAUAACCUGAUGAAUGCAUGUUGUUUUAAAGCAUGUAUGGAAUGUUUAUAAACUGGUCCAUUCAAA
rnacentral:lncRNA from 1 species